rnacentral:rRNA from 1 species
UACGGAGGGGGCUAGCGUUGUUCGGAAUUACUGGGCGUAAAGGGCGCGUAGGCAGUUCGGUAAGUUAGGCGUGAAAGGCCCGGGCUCAACCCGGGAACUGCGCUUAAGACUGCCGGGCUGUGAGUCCGGGAGAGGAUGGCGGAAUUCCCAGUGUAGAGGUGAAAUUCGUAGAUAUUGGGAAGAACACCAGUGGCGAAGGCGGCCAUCUGGCCCGGUACUGACGCUGAGGCGCGAAAGCGUGGGGAGCAAACAGG